GGGUUGGCUCGCCUAAUGGUGUGGGCAGCGCUCUGUAAAAGCGUCCUUUAUUGGUUGUAGGUUCAAUUCCUUCCCAACCCAC
rnacentral:tRNA from 1 species